rnacentral:lncRNA from 1 species
CUUCCCCCACCUCCACCCCACCCCCAGCCCCAGGCAUUAGGCUCGGUUUCUCGGGAUCCUGGGCGUUUGCUCAGACCCCGCACAGACUCGCUCACAUUACUUUUUUAAAACAAAAGCAAUUAGAUUUCAAUCCUGGUUCAUUUGCAUUUGCACCUCGGAAACUGGAGAAGGAGGUUGCGGGAGCGAAGGAGAGGGGAGCCCGGCGGCGGCGGGUGACACCUUCCGAGCGCCACAGCUGGCCCGGACUGCCAUUGCGCCGGCCACAUCUGGCCCGGCCGCGCGGCCGCCGCGGCCCCCUCCCCGCCCGCUCCCGGGCCCGCGCGCCGCAGCCCGCUCGGCGGCGCGCUCAUCGAUCGCCGGGGCCGCAGCCGGGCGAGCGGAGAACAAGGAUGCUGGUUCCAGGGAACAGACAAAGCCGAAGCAUGGCGCCUAACUGGGUGACCCCCAGCUCUGCUGCAGCUGAACUUCUCCAGGCC